GUGCUCCCUUCAGCAGCACAUGCACUAACAUUAGAAUGGUACAGAGAAGUUUAGUAUGGCCUCCCCGCACAAGGAUGACAUGCAAAUUUGCAAAGUGUUCCCUAUUUUU